rnacentral:rRNA from 1 species
GAGACAGCAGUAGCCGCGGUAAUACCAGCACCUCGAGUGGUCAGGAGGUUUAUUGGGCCUAAAGCAUCCGUAGCCGGUUGCAUAAGUUUUCGGUUAAAUCUAUGCGCUUAACGUAUAGGCCGCCGAAAAUACUGUGCAGCUAGGGAGUGGGAGAGGUACACGGUACUCGAUAGGAAGGGGUAAAAUCCUUUGAUCUAUUGAUGACCACCUGUGGCGAAGGCGGUGUACCAGAACACGUUCGACGGUGAGGGAUGAAAGCUGGGGGAGCAAACCGGAUUAGAUACCCCGGUAGUCCCUGUCUCUUAUAC